rnacentral:rRNA from 1 species
UACGUAGGGUGCGAGCGUUAAUCGGAAUUACUGGGCGUAAAGGGUGCGCAGGCGGUCUCGUAAGCUGGGUGUGAAAGCCCCGGGCUUAACCCUGGGGAAUGGCAUUCAGGACUGCGAGGCUUUGAGUGUGGCAGAGGGAGGUGGAAUUCCACGUGUAGCAGUGAAAUGCGUAGAGAUGUGGAGGAACACCGAUGGCGAAGGCAGCCUCCUGGGCCAGCACUGACGCUCAUGCACGAAAGCGUGGGGAGCAAACAGG